UCUUAAGCGCCAGAACUUAACAAAAGUCAUAUAUUUAUUGUAGUAUUGGGGGUUAAGUUGACGAGGACAGAGUUAAUCGAUUUUUCGGCGGAUGCUCUGCGGUGUGUUUACCAUCGUGAAAGUAAUCUUAAAACAUAAGAGUGAUUUUAUGGACAAAGGAGAGCUUAA
rnacentral:ncRNA from 1 species